rnacentral:lncRNA from 1 species
CCCCCCCAGGCCUGUUGCUGCAAUGCAUUAUGGAAAACUGAAAAGUUAUGGGGAGUGGGAAGGAUAUGACAGGGGGGAGGGAAAUUUUGAAUUGGAAUGUUUAUGCAACAAAAAUACAUGGAAUGAACUGGUUGUAUAAUAUUUAUUAUCAUUUAUACUGUUAGUACAAUAUAUAUUAACAGGAAUAAAAGGGUAGGAAAAGGGGGAAAUAUUGCAUAAAAGACUUUUCAAAUAAAAAACAGAAAUAAACUAUAUAUAAAAAUAAAUAAAUGAUCAUAUAAGAUUUAAAAAAUAAGACAAAACCAUACAAAGGUACACAAUAUGCAAAUUCUUGCUCUCCUGCCCAGCAGCGCCCCAGACUGCCCCCUGGUCCUGGUCUUGUGCGACAGAGAAAAGAAUUUCCCUCUGUCCACCUUAUUAAUACUGCGUAUGAUUUUAUAUACGUCCAUCAGGACCCUUCAACACCAUCUUUCCAGGCUUACAACUGGAAGGAUGCUGCCGCCGCCGCCGCCUGCCCGAGCUGCCAGACACUGUCCAGGGCAGCCCUGGAUGCGAUGGAAGGGCAGCCGGCCGCGCAAGGCACGAUAGGAAAUUCAGCAGCAUCUCGGCAGCCCGAGCUCGCUCGCUCCGUCUGGACCAGCCGCCCACAGUGACUGCGGCUUCAGGAAAGGCAGUGCGCAUGCGCGCGGGCGGGGGCAGGCGCCGAGGGAGACGGCCGGCCGGGCGCGCUCCCCGCCCCGCCCCAGAGCGAGUACGUCACACGCUGCACGUUCGUUGCCAUGGCGGCGGCGGCGGCGGCGGCGUGGGGGGAAUGCGUCUGCAGAGCUGAUUGACUAUGCCAGAAGGCGAAGCCCCGCCCACUUUCUCCGGCCUACGCCGCGUGGUCUGUCGCCAUGUUUCUGCCGCGCCGCCAAAGGAUUGCGUCAAUAUCCCGCGUUUGGUGGAGCGUCAGCGAAGACACUGCUUACCGUGUUUGCAGCACAAUAAAAAGAUUUUUUUUCCCUAGCAACCAACACACAACGUUAAGCACCGUACCCCAAAAUCACCACCUCUUCACUUCACUAGAGCCAUCACCACUGUCGUCCAUAAGGCAGAAAGCAGCCAGUGCACUGCAGGUAAGUUUUGUUUCUGUGUUGGAUUGUAUUGCUGCAGGUUGGGGGCUGUAGAACNGUANAGGAAGGCCCUGCUUAACGCCGAGGUUCUUUCCCAGCAAGGCAUCGCUUGAAGCGAAACUCGCGUUAAAGCGAGAAAGAGACCUUUAAUGUUCAGGAAAACACGUUAAAGUGUAACAGGAGCACUUAAUGCUGGAACAAGGUCUCAAUUCNUAAAUUGUGUUAUAUUGAAACCACACAAACCGAAGGCGUUUAAGACAGGGCCUUGCUGUAUUUGUUCCACAGCCUUGGAGGUGGUGGGUGAAUGGGUCAUCCUUCCAGUGGGGCCAAUGCAUCUGAGGCCCAGUGAUGUCCCCGGAGGCCCUCCUGGUCUUUGCUGGGGGAGGCACCCAUCUUCCUUGGCCCCUGGGGUGCGGAGACACUUCCUCUCUGCCAGAGGGUGGGUACACAAUCGGGGGCUUAAGGGAGGUGGAGGAGAUGUGGCGUUAGCUUCCUCUCGGGCUGGUCCCUGGCCGGGUUUCCCUCCGUUUGCCCCAGACUAGGUUUGUUUCCUGGCUGCCCGUUUAAGGAUCUCAUUUUGAGAUGGGAGCCAUGUCCGGGUGUCGCUGCCGGUUGCCGAUUCGUCUGUGCCCCGGCAGCUCCCAGAACCCCCCUCGCUGCCUUUGGUACUGCUUGCUCCCCAUUUCCAGGGCUUCCCAGUCAAAUCCGGCUAUUUUCACCAGUGUGUUGGGCAAUGGGAGAUUUUUCACUCUGUCUUUUCACAGCUAGCUAGCCUUUAUGUGUGCAUUUUGCUAUUCUACUGGUUUGUCCCACUUAACAGAGUUUACAGGUUUGGCACUGAAUUUUGUAGACCUCUCCAGGUUUGUAUUUACUGGGUAAAAGGCCUUUGGGUUUCCUUAAUGUAUUUCGAAGGGGGUUGGCUGGUUGUUUGGUUUGCCACAGAUAUUCCCAGAGGUUGUAAUCAUCUGCUGGUGCUUUACACGUUUAAGUAGUCUAAGGGAGAGCAAUUCUUUCUGCUCUAGACUCCUGGCAAAUGGCCUUUAGAGGCAUCCUG